UACGUAGGGUGCAAGCGUUGUCCGGAAUUACUGGGCGUAAAGCGCACGUAGGCGGAUUGUUAAGUCGGGGGUGAAAUCCUGGAGCUCAACUCCAGAACUGCCUUCGAUACUGGCGAUCUCGAGUUCGGGAGAGGUGAGUGGAACUGCGAGUGUAGAGGUGAAAUUCGUAGAUAUUCGCAAGAACACCAGUGGCGAAGGCGGCUCACUGGCCCGGAACUGACGCUGAGGUGCGAAAGCGUGGGGAGCAAACAGG
rnacentral:rRNA from 1 species